GAUGAACGCUGGCGGCGUGCUUAAUACAUGCAAGUCGAGCGAAAGGACGAGAAGCUUGCUUCUCUGAUGUUAGCGGCGGACGGGUGAGUAACACGUGGAUAACCUACCUAUAAGACUGGGAUAACUUGGGGAAACCGGAGCUAACAGCGGAUAAUAUUUUGAACCGCAUGGUUCAUAAGUGAAAUACGGUGUUGGUGUAACUAAUAGAUGGAUCUCGGCUGCAUUAGCUGGUUGGUAAGGUAACGGCUUACCAAGGCAACGAUGCGUAGACGACGGCAGAGAGGGGUCGGCCGCCCUGGAACUGAGACAGCGUCAAGACUACUACGGGAGGCAGCAGUAGCGAAUCGGCCGCAGUGGGCGAGAGCCUGACGGAGCAGCGGGGAGUCUGUGGUGAAAGUCUUCGGAUCGUAAAACUCUGUUAUUAGGGAAGAACCGAUGUGUCAGUAACCGUGGACAGCGUGACGGUACCUAAUAAGGAAGCACCGGCUAACUACGUG
rnacentral:rRNA from 1 species